UGGGGAAUAUUGCACAAUGGAGGAAACUCUGAUGCAGCGACGCCGCGUGAGUGAAGAAGGUCUUCGGAUCGUAAAACUCUGUCCUUGGUGACGAAAAAAAUGACGGUAGCCAAGGAGGAAGCCCCGGCUAACUACGUGCCAGCAGCCGCGGUAAUACGUAGGGGGCGAGCGUUGUCCGGAUUUACUGGGCGUAAAGGGUGAGUAGGCGGUAAUAUGUGUCAGAUGUAAAAGGCUAUAGCUUAACCAUAGUUGGCAUUUGAAACUGUAGUACUUGAGUGCAGGAGAGGUAAGUGGAAUUCCUAGUGCAGCGGCGAAAUGCGUAGAUAUUAGGAGGAACACCAGUGGCGAAGGCGACUUACUGGACUGUAACUGACGCUGAGUCACGAAAGCGUGGGUAGCAAAC
rnacentral:rRNA from 1 species